rnacentral:rRNA from 1 species
GAUGAACGCUGGCGGCGUGCCUAAUACAUGCAAGUCGAGCGAACGGACGAGAAGCUUGCUUCUCUGAUGUUAGCGGCGGACGGGUGAGUAACACGUGGAUAACCUACCUAUAAGACUGGGAUAACUUCGGGAAACCGGAGCUAAUACCGGAUGAUAUAUUGAACCGCAUGGUUCAAUAGUGAAAGACGGUCUUGCUGUCACUUAUAGAUGGAUCCGCGCUGCAUUAGCUAGUUGGUAAGGUAACGGCUUACCAAGGCAACGAUGCAUAGCCGACCUGAGAGGGUGAUCGGCCACACUGGAACUGAGACACGGUCCAGACUCCUACGGGAGGCAGCAGUAGGGAAUCUUCCGCAAUGGGCGAAAGCCUGACGGAGCAACGCCGCGUGAGUGAUGAAGGUCUUCGGAUCGUAAAACUCUGUUAUUAGGGAAGAACAUAUGUGUAAGUAACUAUGCACAUCUUGACGGUACCUAAUCAGAAAGCCACGGCUAACUACGUG